rnacentral:lncRNA from 1 species
UUUGAGAGAGCAGGUGUAAAAUCACAACUGGAAGAAAGUUACAUAUGUCACAUCUCUUGACCUGUGUAAGGUGGUGGAAAAGAUUUCAUGUCUAUCUACCUUAUCAAAUUCUUUUUAGUAGGAAAAAUCAUUCCACAAAUUCUCUUGGAUUAUACACACAUUUGCUUUAGCAAAUGGAGUCUUAUCAAUUCACUUCUGAGAUGAAUUGAUGAAUUGAGAUGAAUUCUGAGACACAAUGCACACUUGAUGCUUGGGGG